rnacentral:rRNA from 1 species
CGCCUGUUUAUUAAAAACAUAGUUUUUUAAAUUAAUAAAAAAUAAGAUCUGCCCAUUGAAUUUAAAAUUUUAAAAGGCCGCAAUAUUUUAAUUGUGCUAAGGUAGCAUAAUCAUUAGGUUUAUAAUUUAAAUCUAGAAUGAAAGAUAAAAUGAAAAAAAAACUUUUUUAUUUAUAAUAUUUAAAUUUUAUAUUUAAGUUAAAAAGCUUAAAAAUAAAAAUUAGACGAGAAGACCCUAUAGAAUUUUAUUAAUUGAAUAUUAAAUAUUAAUUUUAUAUUCUUAAUUUAAUUGGGGAGAUUUUAAAAUUUAAUAAACUUUUAUAAAUAAAAUCAAUAAUUUUUGUUUAUUUGAUCUUAUUUUAAGAAUAAAAAGAUUAAAUUACCUUAGGGAUAACAGCAUAAUUUUAAAAAAAAGUUCUUAUUUUUUUUAAUGUUUAUGACCUCGAUGUUGGAUUAAAUAAAUUUAAAUUGAAGAAAAUUUAUUAUUUAAUUUAGUCUGUUCGACUAAUAGAA